UACAGAGGUCCCAAGCGUUGUUCGGAUUCACUGGGCUUAAAGGGCGCGUAGGCGGGCAAGUAAGUCUAGGGUGAAAUCUUUCGGCUCAACCGGAAAAGUGCCUUAGAUACUGCUUGUCUAGAGGGAGAUAGGGGUUGCUGGAACUUCCGGUGGAGCGGUGAAAUGCGUUGAUAUCGGAAAGGAACGCCGGGUGGCGAAAGCGAGCAACUGGACCUCUUCUGACGCUGAGGCGCGAAAGCUAGGGGAGCAAACGGGG
rnacentral:rRNA from 1 species